AUAGUACUCCCUCCGUUUAGAAUUACUCGUCCAAAAAAUGAAUGUAUCUAGAUGUAUUUUAGUUGUAGAUACAUCCAUUUUUGUAACAAGUAAUUCCGAACGGAGGGAGUACAUG
rnacentral:pre_miRNA from 1 species